rnacentral:rRNA from 1 species
UACGUAGGGGGGCAAGCGUUGUCCGGAAUCAUUGGGCGUAAAGAGCGUGUAGGCGGUUCGAUAAGUCGGCUGUGAAAGUCCAGGGCUCAACCCUGGGAUGCCGGUCGAAACUGUCGGGCUAGAGUUCGGAAGAGGCGAGUGGAAUUCCCGGUGUAGCGGUGAAAUGCGCAGAUAUCAGGAGGAACACCGGUGGCGAAGGCGGUUCUCUGGGCAUGUCCUGACGCUGAGGAGCGAAAGUGUGGGGAGCGAACAGG